rnacentral:tRNA from 1 species
GCGGGUGUGGCGGAAUGGACAGACGCGCUAGACUUAGGAUGUAGUGUCUUACGACGUGGGGGUUCGAGUCCCUUCACCCGCA